rnacentral:rRNA from 1 species
AAAUUGAAGAGUUUGAUCAUGGCUCAGAUUGAACGCUGGCGGCAGGCCUAACACAUGCAAGUCGAACGGUAACAGGAAUCAGCUUGCUGAUUCGCUGACGAGUGGCGGACGGGUGAGUAAUGUCUGGGAAACUGCCUGAUGGAGGGGGAUAACUACUGGAAACGGUAGCUAAUACCGCAUAACGUCGCAAGACCAAAGAGGGG